UAGAUAGCAUAUAUAACUUCACACCCAAGUUCUUGGUCAGUAAACUACCUGAAUUUUCUCUUCCUUCAUAUAUUUGAAGCAAAACUGUAAUGGUUGAAAGUAUUCCACUAGAAGCUAUUGGUCCAAAAGAAGCUGUAAAGCCUGAUGCCACUGAUAAAGAAAAGAAGGCAUUCUUUAAAGCCAUCAAAGCAAAAAAUUCUCAGAAAAUCAAAAAGUUCUCAAAGGAGUAUAAGUUGAAUUUUUGUUUUAAAGAAUAUACUCCGCUUAUACUCGCACUUAAGAAAUUAAAUACACUUGAUGUAGUGAAAGAUUUAAUUGAAAAUGGAGCCAAAGUAAAUUACAAAGAUAAGGAUGGAUGGGCACCUUUACAUGUGGCAAUAAAUAAUGAGUGUUCAUUAGAUAUUAUAAAGCUACUGAUAGAGCAUAAGGCAGGUAUAAAUGAAGUUGCACGUUAUACCUGUGGCUCACGCAAAUAUACACCACUUUCGGUAUCAGUUAUAAAAAACAACUUUGAAGCUUUUACAUUUUUAAUUGAUAAGAAAGCAAACAUGACUAAAGAAAACUCUGAUAAAACCACUGCUUUAUCCCUUGCUCAAUCAAAUAAUAGAACAGAAAUGUUGAAUUAUUAUUAUUACGGACCUCUAGGAUAUGCCAUUUUUACUGAAAACCUGAUCAAAGCUCGACAACUUUUAGAAGAUGGUGCAGAUGUGUUUACAACUGGUCCAAGCAACAAAACUCCUCUUGUGAUAGCCGUUGAAAAAGACAGUUUUAAAGCAAUCAUUCUUUUAUUUGAAUUUGGAGCAAAGCUUACCAUGCAGACAGCUUUUUUAGAAGCCGUAAAUCUGGGAAAGAUUGACAUCAUUAAUUUUUUUAUACAGCACAAAGUCGACAUUAAUCGGAAAUAUCUAAAUGGGACCACGCCAUUACUAAAAGCUGUAGAAAAUGAAAAUUUUCAUGUAGUCAAAACUUUGAUCGAAAAAGAUGCCACUGUUGACUUUUCAGACAACACAUUGUUACUAAAAGCUAUAGGAAGGGGAGAUCUCGAUGUAGUCAAACUGCUGAUCGAAAAAGGCGCAAGUGUUAAUUCUACAGACGGUCAAAAUUCGAAUCCAUUGUUUGAAUCAUUGAAACUCGACAACUGUGACAUUACCAAAUACUUGAUAAGUAAAGGAGCGAAAAUGGAGGCGAAAUAUUUAGUGAAGAACAAUUUUCAACAUUUGCAAAAUCUAAUUAAAAGUAAAGCCGACUUGAAGAAUAUUUUACAAGACCAGUUCGAAAGUUCUAUUUUACAAAAAGUAGUUGAAACUAAAAAUGCCUUUUUUGUUAAGUAUCUUUUGGACUACGUACUCUCGCUUAAUUCAAACGACAUAGAACAAGAACUCAAAAGACUUCUUGGAACAGCUGCAAAAAACCACAGUUUUUCAAUUGUUAAAAUUUUGAUUGACGCUAAAGUUGAUAUUGCUUCGGCUGAAGACGAACUUGAGGAGUUUGCUAAGCACAAUGACGAUUUUGACGUGUAUUAUCAAGAACUAAAACAAAAAUUUUCGAAAAAAUCAUCUGCUGACGGUGACGCUGCCACGGAGACGCAGUGAAUAAGCAAUGAAAUUAAGAAUUUAUUUUUAUUUUAUCAUUUGUAUUAAACAUUAUUCUUAAAAGUCUAAUUUCUUUCUGUAUUUACCAGCGUGACCUGGUUAGCGUUUUUCGAAAAAAGUAUGAGCUAAUUGGGUACCCUCUAAAUUUAUGAUUAUGUUUCAACCAAAAUAUUUAAUGAACAACAAAAACGAUUAUUUUAGCUUUAGCAAAACUUUCAAUCCAUUUACUAAUCCAUUAGGAUUUUGGGAAAAUGGCGAAGUAAUUUUUAUUAACUAUUAAAAUGGUUACAAACAAUUAACUUGUGUUAAGAAAUUGUAGGUAUUAAAAAAACGCCAACUUGAAGAACAUUUUACAGGACGACUUACUUUACUUUCCACAGUAGUUAAAGAUAAAAAUGUUGUUUUUUUAAAAAACGUUUUGAAUCAAGGAUUUUCGAUUGAUUGAUUCGACAGCAAUCAGAAAAGUCCACUUUCAAUAGCUGCAGAAAAUCGCAAUUUUAUAAUUGUUAAAAUUUUGAUCCCUUCACAACGGACAUUUUUGCAGGAACAAAACAAACCUAUAUUAAAAUUUUUCACCUCCCACUAGUGGACCCCUCUUUACAACGGACAAUUAAAGAUUCCACAUCGGUGUCCGUUGUUGAGAGGUUCUACUAUAAUUGUUUUCAGGUUUUGGUGACUGAUGCCAUGAAGCUGUUGAUAAUUACAGAAAUUCAUUUUGUGUUUAGAAUUUAUUUUUUAUUUUAUCAUUUACAUUAAAGGGACUAUAUUUAGAUAAUAUUAUUAGUAGAACUAAACCCUUCUUUACACUUAUAGAUAAACAAUGUUUUCCGUCUUGUAUAAUAAACAACUUUUUAUUGGUUCCACCUGUUGAAGUAUAUUUAAUCAGUUUAUCAUCGAUUAGAUUGUUCAUAACUUCGCACCCAAGCUCCUAUAGCUAACAGCUUGCAUUUUUUCUUCCUUCAGAUAGUCACAACAAAACUGUAAUGAGUCAAAGCUGUAAAUUUAUGAGACGAUUUUUUGUUAAAUCCUGAAGAGAAAAAGUUGCAGUGGCUGAAGCCAGUGAAGAGGAAAAGAAGGCAUUCUUUGAAGCCAUCAGAGCAGGAAAUUUUAAUAAUAUUGAAAUGUUCGUCUCAAAAAAGUAAAAUUUGAAUUUCUGUUUUGAGACAUAUACUUCGCAUAUACUCGUAGUUUCGAAAUUAAAAGAACUCGAAAAUGGAGCUGACGCUAAUUACAAAAACAAGGAUAGAUGGACACCUUUACAUGUGGCAAUAAAUAAUGGGUGUUCAUUAGAAAUUAUAAAGCUAUUUAUGGAUAACAGGACAGAUUUAAAUGAAGUUUCACGUUAUAUCUGUGAUUCACCCAAAUUUACUCCACUUUCGUUAUCAGUUAUGACAAAAAACUUUGAGGCUUUUAAACUUUUAAUUGAUGAAGGAGCAGAUAUAAAUAAAGCAAACUCUGAUCAAUCUACUGCCCUAACACUUGCUCAACGAAAUCAUAGAACAGAAAUGUUGAAUUAUUAUUACGGACCUCUAGGAUAUGCCAUUUUUACUAAAAACUUAGUUGAAGCUCGACGACUUUUAGAAGGUGGUGCAGAUGUGUUUACAACUGGUCCAAGCAACAAAACUCCUCUUGUGAUAGCCGUUGAAAAAGACAGUUUUAAAGCAAUCAUUCUUUUAUUUGAAUUUGGAGCAAAGCUUACCAUGCAGACAGCUUUUUUAGAAGCCGUAAAUCUGGGAAAGAUUGACAUCAUUAAUUUUUUUAUACAGCACAAAGUCGACAUUAAUCGGAAAUAUCUAAAUGGGACCACGCCAUUACUGAAAGCUAUCGAAAGAGGAAACUUUGAUGUAGUCAAACUGCUGAUCGAAAAAGGCGCAAGUGUUAAUUCUACAGACGGUCAAAAUUCGAAUCCAUUGUUUGAAUCAUUGAAACUCGACAACUGUGACAUUACCAAAUACUUGAUAAGUAAAGGAGCGAAAAUGGAGGCGAAAUAUUUAGUGGAGAACAAUUUUCAACAUUUGCAAAAUCUAAUUAAAAGUAAAGCCGACUUGAAGAAUAUUUUACAAGACCAGUUCGAAAGUUCUAUUUUACAAAAAGUAGUUGAAACUAAAAAUGCCUUUUUUGUUAAGUAUCUUUUGGACUACGUACUCUCGCUUAAUUCAAACGACAUAGAACAUGAACUCAAAAGACUUCUUGGAAUAGCUGCAAAAAACCACAGUUUUUCAAUUGUUAAAAUUUUGAUUGACGCUAAAGCUGAUAUUGCUUCGGCUGAAGACGAACUUGAGGAGUUUGCUAAGCACAAUGACGAUUUUGAUGUGUAUUAUCAAGAACUAAAACAAAAACUUUCGAAAAAAUCAUCUGCUGACGGUGACGCUGACACGAAGACGCAGUGAAUAAGCAAUGAAAUUAUCUUUGUCUUAAGAAUUUAUUUUUAUUUUAUCAUUUGUAUUAAACAUUAUUCUUAAAAGACUAAUUUCUUUCAUAAAAAAAUAAAAAUUUUGUGUUUUU